rnacentral:lncRNA from 10 species
AUUUCCCUGAAUUUGGAGUUCCUGAAGGAGGAACUCAAUCAGCUACUGAUGACUCCACUGAUUAUGGGCUUUCUCAAGCUGCCUUUAUGAAGAACAGGAAGACAAGAUGGUCGGCUCUUAUCCCUGAAGAGGAACUUGAUCCUGAUGGAAACAUCCUAAUGGAAAAUGUGGGUUGGGAUGGGAGCCCGUGAUGAAGUGGCAGCUUGGCCUCACCACAAGUCAUUCCAGUGACAUGCGUCACAGUGCCUUCCAGCUCCAAAUUUUCAGAAAUAGUUUUGCAUAUGGAAAAAUAUGAGGUGACAUAAAAUGGUAACAAAGGUUCUACAUUUCUAUUGACUCUUCAACCACAUGUCAAUUAGGGCCAAUAUUUAGAACAUACUGGAUCUUCUGAAAGCGUGAGAAAGGAAGGUGCAUUUCCUUGCUCUCCUUGCAAAAUAUACAUAGCUACGCAUUUGAUUUUUAUUGGGAAUGUAAUCAACAGAAUAUUUUAAUAAAAAAUGUGAAAGCAGGCAGAAAAUUUUCAUAUACAACAUAUAUAUAUAAUAUAUAUAUGUAGAAAAUGUACUUUAUUAUCAGCCAUUUCAAUUACCAUGGACUCUAAAUGUUAUGAGUUUAAUUAAAUAAAGAUGAGUUUUAAAAAUAAAGAAAUGUACACAUUCAGCAU